ACCAGUUUGGCUCAGUGGAUAGAGCAUUGGCCUGAGCCAAAGGGUCCCGGGUUCGAUUCCCAGUCAAGGUU
rnacentral:tRNA from 1 species